UACGUGUCGAGUAUCAUGUAAACACAGGACCUCAGCUAGCUGGUUGGCUAAGCUAGCUCUUCCAUCACAACGUCAACAUGAAGUUGAACACGGCUACUCGAUGGUGGAGCCGUUUAAACGACCUAGACAACAUAGUUGACGAUUUACACCUCUUUAAACGUAGCCGAGUGGGAAACACAUCAACAUGCGAGGCAUAUCCAACACUACGGUGGCUAGUAGGCGCUACGGGGGGACAUCGAAACACUGGCUUCCUUGCAGGCUAUAGGCCAGAACCGCCAUCUUUUCUCCUCCAUGACAACAACCAGACGGAGGGGAUGCGGCGCAGAGCUCCGGGACCCCGGGCACGGUUCGUGCGUUCACGCCCCCGCUGUCUGAUGCCGCUGCUGCUUCUGCAGCCGUGCGGUUCGGUACUCCUUCCUGUACAUCUUCUUUCUCUUCUUCUUUUUCUUCAUACGACCCUUGGGUUUCCUCGUCCAUCAACGCAGAGUGAAAGCAAAGAAGAGAAGACAACAGUUGAAUAACAUACAACUCGCAUGUCAGUAAAGUGCGGGUACGACACUGUCCGACUACGACACUGUCCGACUCCACUACAACUAGUGCGUUCCUUAAGUUAGUAUAUGAAUUGGUCGUUUUGAAUUUUUUUGUAAGGGCCAAGGAGGAGUUACAACUGACAGUACUGUGAAUCCCCGCCCUUAUUUCCAUUACAUUGUUUGUGGCUGAAUGAUACACCGCCACACAGAGGUAUUUAGUUCGACUCACCAAGUUGUACAGAUGAGCAAACUGAUUACCGGUACUUACAUUAUAACAACAAUAAUUAUUAUAAUAACUACUUGUAGAGAACCUUUCAAAAGCUGACUACGGAUCCAUCAAUUAAAAAUAAAUAAAGGAAAAUAAUUGUUUCGAUGUAGAUAUAGCUACCAUUAUAUUAACUAAAAUCCAUAAUUUUUAUCUGAAACAAACUAGGGAUUACACACUGCGAUAGAACCACAUAAAGUUUUUUUCAAGGAAGGAAAUAUUUUCCAAUCAGAGGUCAUUUGUGGAUACUCUCAUGUCAAGGAAUCCAACUAAGUAGUCCUAUUACUGCAAUUAAUAGAUAACUUAAACAAACGGUGUUCAAAACGGUGUAGGUUUGGCUUGAAAUAUGAUACAGCGACAUAUGGGUCGGGCUGGAAUGUGGUGUGCCAACAAUUAAAGCAGUAAUCGAAGGCUCUUUGUUUUGUUAUAAAUAUAUUAUAUUCUGAAUAGCGUUAUUUCAUAGGAUCUAAUUGAUCUGAUUUAUUUACUUGUAGGGAUCAAUAAUCAUGUAAAAUAAUAAUUUGGAGGCAUUUAAGUACAGUGUACGUCAAACAUUUAUUUCCCUAUAAUUGCAAGAACAUUUCAACUUUAUUAACAUAUAUCUUGAAACAUAUCACUUACAUUUUGAAAUAUAACACAAUGAAAUUGUGUAAAAUAAAACUGUACCAUAAGUUUA